rnacentral:tRNA from 1 species
UCCCUGGUGGUCCAGUGGCUAAGACUCCAAGCUUGCAAUGCAGGAUACCUGGGUUCGAUCCCUGGUCAGGGAA